UGAGAGGCAAUGCCUUUCCCCAGAUGUCUACUUUUUUAUUUCUUCCUUAGCCCCUGGUUUCUAGCAUAGGGAUUUGCUCACUUAAACUUUCAUUGGUCCUAGAGCUAGCAAAGUUCACAUUAAAAUGAUUAUAAGGGGCCUGGCGCAGUGGCUCAUGCCUGUAAUCCUAGCACUUUGGGAGGCUGAGGUGGGUGGAUUGCUUGAGGUCAGGAGUUUGAUACCAGCCUGGCCAACAUGGCAAAACCCCGUCUGUACUAAAAAUACAAAAAUUAGCCGGGCAUAGUGGCAGGCGCCUGUAAUCCCAGCUACUCGGGAGGCUGAGGCACGAGAAUUCCUUGAACCCAAGGGGUGGAGGUUGCAGUGAGCCGAGAUCGUGCCACUGCACUCCAGCCUGGGUGACAGCAAAACUCUGUCUAAAAUAUAUAUAUAUAUGUGUAUGUAUGUAUAUAUGUAUGACUAUAGGUCAGUUCUCUAUGAAAUGUGCAUGCUGUGCUUUCACAGAUCCAGGGACUGUAAGUUAUCCCUAGGUAGACACUUCUUUAUCAGAUAGGCAGUUGGUUGGCUAGUCUCAACUUUUGUUUUUUUCUGGUACGUAAUGUGUUUGGUAUAGACCUUUGGGCCUCAGAGACUCCAGAGGACAUAGUUCAGGCUCUCAAGCUUAAAUUGAAGUAGGGAGCAUCACCUUGUGAGGGAGAAAGGUGGAAAUUGCUUAGCACUUGAACAACUCUCCAAAGAAAAUUCUCUUUCUUUGACUCUGAGAACCUUGAGGAAGGUGUUGGGUUGAGGUGCAAAACCAGUUUUUGGCCACUUUGAAAAUCUUUGCAUGUAAAAAACAGAAUCACAUAAGAGCCACAACACUACUUAUAUAUGAACGUGUGUGUGUUGGGGGGAGGGGCGUUGAGGGAUUAAAAUGCCACUGGGGGGCCAGGCACAGUGGCUUAUGCCUGUAAUCCCAGCACUUUGGGAGGCUGAGGUAGGAGGAUGGUUUUAGGUCAGGAGUUUGAGACUAGCCUAGGCAACAUAGUGAGACCUUCUCUCUCUUACAAUUUAAUUAAAAAAAGAAAGGAUAUGGGAUAUGUUGAUUGAAGGAUAAGUUGAAUAUAUAAACCAUGAGAAGGUCAGAAAGUGGAUGAAGUUUUAAGUUAGUAGCCCUGGAGACCAUCUUUCCUGUUAGCUUCAUUCUCUUUACAGAUGAACUUCUUUAAUGAUGUAGGUGGAGAACAUGGCAGCUGACAGUUCCUAAGGGUUAAGUAUUUCUAUGUUUACCACUGUCUGGGAGUUCCCUCUCAAAUGCAAACUUAAAAAAAAUGAGGGGAGGUUAAUUAACGAGCUAGACAUGAGGAAUUAGGGGUUGUAUACUUGAUUGCAACUGGGCAAAUCAACUGGGACUUGGAUCCCAUAAGAAUUUCACAGUCCCCGCUAUGUCUAUUUAUGGAAGAGUCAGUCUGUCUCUCAGAGGAAGGAAGCGGUGCUGAGCUAACGAUAACGAGAGAUCUACUACAAAUCAGGCACAUGUGAACUUAAUAUAAAUAACAAACAUAAACGGAUUGUACAAAUUUGUAUUCCCUUUAUGAGAGUAGUUUUUCCCCAGCUAUUCAUUUAUUCAUGAUAUUCAUUUGAUGAAUACUUACUGUGGUCUGCACUCUGCCUGAUACUAGUUUAACUGUUGGAUGUGUGGGAAGGGCGAAGGAAAAUGUAAGAAAGAUAAUAAGACGAGUUAAUUUUUGAAGGUGAUAAGUUUGUGUCUUAACCACUCAGCCAUUACAGCACCUUCAGAAGAAUCUUGCUUCCAGUUAUGUUCCUAUUGCCUGUUCAAAGCACCUUGUCCACAUUAUCUUCCCUUUUCAAGGAAUGUGUACAUUUUUUUUUGUCUUUUAAAACUUUUUUUUUUUUUUUGAGACCAUGUCUCAAAAACAUAAAGAAAGGCAGCUUCAACUCAUGCACUGAGCCCUGAGGUUACUGGGAACGGCAGGUGCAAAUAUCUCAUGAGGAGAUAGAAAGUUGGCAUAAUUUGGAUGAGAAAGGCUACUAUGGCUGCAAUAUGGUGAGGGAGGAGGUUGGAGCUUCAGAAGCAGGUGGAGGACAGAUGUGCAUGAUUUAGAGAACCAAGGGAAGGAAUUGGGUUUUUAUCUGAAAUCUGAUGAGAAAUUAUGUUUGCAAUUGAUUUCUCAUCAGAUUUUACUAAAAUACAGAGAAUCAGUAGGAAGGGUACUAGCUGUACUCUGAUAGAUUUCUAAGUACUGCAAAUGGUGCUAAGUGCUUUGUAGCUGUUCUCUUAUUUAAUCCUUAGAACAAUCCUGUGAAGAACCUUCUAAAUCUGAUGGUAUUUAUGGCUGUAAGUUGCUGGCAAUGUUUUAAUCUCUUUGUAUAAAUAAAGUCAUUUUAGCCUUAC
rnacentral:lncRNA from 10 species